AUGAACGCUGGCGGCGUGCCUAAUACAUGCAAGUCGAGCGAACAGACGAGGAGCUUGCUCCUCUGACGUUAGCGGCGGACGGGUGAGUAACACGUGGAUAACCUACCUAUAAGACUGGGAUAACUUCGGGAAACCGGAGCUAAUACCGGAUAAUAUAUUGAACCGCAUGGUUCAAUAGUGAAAGACGGUUUUGCUGUCACUUAUAGAUGGAUCCGCGCCGCAUUAGCUAGUUGGAAAGGUAACGGCUUACCAAGGCGACGAUGCGUAGCCGACCUGAGAGGGUGAUCGGCCACACUGGAACUGAGACACGGUCCAGACUCCUACGGGAGGCAGCAGUAGGGAAUCUUCCGCAAUGGGCGAAAGCCUGACGGAGCAACGCCGCGUGAGUGAUGAAGGUCUUCGGAUCGUAAAACUCUGUUAUUAGGGAAGAACAAAUGUGUAAGUAACUAUGCACGUCUUGACGGUACCUAAUCAGAAAGCCACGGCUAACUACGUG
rnacentral:rRNA from 1 species